AACGCGAAGAACCUUACCUGGGCUCGAACGGCUCACGAAAGUCUUUGGAAACAGAGACUUCCCGCAAGGGACUUGAGUCGAGGUGCUGCAUGGCUGUCGUCAGCUCGUGUCGUGAGAUGUUGGGUUAAGUCCCGCAACGAGCGCAACCCUUGUCCUAUGUUGCCAGCGGGUAAUGCCGGGGACUCGUAGGAGACUGCCGGGGUCAACUCGGAGGAAGGUGGGGAUGACGUCAAGUCAUCAUGCCCCUUACGUCCAGGGCUGCACACAUGCUACAAUGGCCGGUACAAAGGGCUGCUAUCCCGCGAGGGUGAGCGAAUCCCAAAAAGCCGGUCUCAGUUCGGAUUGCAGUCUGCAACUCGACUGCAUGAAGUCGGAGUCGCUAGUAAUCCCGGAUCAGCAACGCCGGGUGAAUACGUUCCCGGGCCUUGUACACACCGUAGAGAC
rnacentral:rRNA from 1 species